GAAACGCUCGCAAUGAAGGGUUUAAUCCUAAAUUGUAUGGGAAAACUUCAAGAAGCUCAAGAUUGUGUUCGUCGUGGACUUGUAUCGGAUCUCCGUUCAUAUGUCUGCUGGCACGUAUUUGGACUAAUUCAAAAGACUGAAAAGAAGUACGAUGAGGCAAUUAAGGCCUACAAACGGGCCUUGAUGCUGGAAAAGGACAAUUUGCAGAUUUUGAGAGAUUUGAGUCUUUUGCAGAUUCAUAUUCGUGAUUAUGACGGAUAUUUGGUAGGUUUUUUUGAUCGAAAAAAUGACGAAAAACGGUUGAUUUUGAGCUAAAAUCUGGAAAAUUCGCUGAUUUUUGCUUUUUUUUAAGUGAAAAUUCCAUAAAAAUUGUGGAAUUUUGGCCAAAAACCAGGAUGUUAGCACGUUUUCCGUGAAAAUUCCAUUCGAAUUGAUCAAUUUCGGCUGAAAAACGAGAAAAUUGACAGAUUGAUUGCACUUGUCUCUGUAAAUUCCACACAAAACCCGUGUUUUGGGCGUUUUUGUAGUCAAAAUUGACGAAUUUUGACCCAAAAAUCAGGAAAUCGGCAUAUUUUGCCGAAUUUUGACUGAAAAAUUGGGAAAUUUCACACAAAACUCAAGUUUUGGACAGUUUUAACCGGAAAUUUCAAAAAUUGAUGAUUUUUGUCUACAAAAACUGUUAAAUUUACCUAAUUUUGGUGCUGUUGAGUGAAAAUUUCAUCCAAAACCCAAUUUUGAACACUUUUGGAGAAAAUGCCUUGGAAAUAGUCGAAUUUUGACUGAAAAGCUGACAAAUUAAAGGUUUUGGCACAUUUUGAGUGAAAAUCGACGAAUUUUGAGCCAAAAACAGGAAAAUUGACCGAUUUCGGUGUUAGAGAAAAUGCCUUGAAAAAUGUCGAAUUUUGACUGAAAAGCUGACAAAUUUACUAAUUUUGCGGUUUUUUGUGGGAAAAUUCCAUUGAAAACGGCUAAAUUUGACCCAAAAUUCGAGUUUUGGGCUUUUUUUUUGGUGAAAAUUUAUGAAUUUUGGCCAAAACUUUGGGAAUUUAAAUGAUUUCGGGGCUUUUUCUGUGAAAAUUCCAUUGGAAAUACGAUUUUUGGCCAAAAAAUGGAAAAUUUAACCCAAACUAUGUGAAUUUUCUUCAAAAUCGCCAAAAAUUGUUUAAAUCUGCCCAAUUUCGGUGAUUUUUUGCCAAUUUUUCUCUUAAAAACUGGAAUUUAAGCCAAAAAUCGGGCCUGGGAAGCCUAAAAAGCUCAGAAUUUCGGUUUUUUUCACAGUUUUUUCGAUAAAAAUUGCAUUUUUACCCGAAAAACGGGAUUUUUCAUCUAAAAAUUCGCAUUUUUUUUCAGUCAUCAAAAUACGAACUUCUACAAUUGCGUCAAACUCAACGUGUAUCAUGGUUGGGUUAUAUUGUUGCUCAUCAUUUGCUCAAAGAGCACAAUUUGGCGCUUGGAAUUAUGGCUGAAUAUAUCAAGAAUAAUACGGUAAAUUUGGAAAUUUAGCUGAAAAUCAAGGAAAUUUGGCUGAAAAUCGAGAAUUUUAGCUGAAAAUUGAAGAAAUUUGGCUGAAAAUCGAGAAUUUUGGCUAAAAAUCAAGGAAAUUUGGCUCAAAAUUGAGGAAUUUGACUGAAAAUUGAUAAAUUUUGGCUGAAAAUUGACGAAAUUCGGCUUAAAAUUGACUUAAUUCAGCUAAAAAUCGAGAAAUGUGGCUGAAAAUCGAGAAUUUCAGCUGAAAAUCGAGAAAUUUGGCUGAAAAUCGAGAAUUUUAGCUGAAAAUCGAGAAAUUUGGCUGAAAAUCGAGAAAUUUGGCUGAAAAAUGAUUAAAUUUAGCUGGAAAUUGAAGAAAUUUGGCUGAAAAUUGAGGAAUUUGACUGAAAAUUGAUAAAUUUUGGCUGAAAAUUAAAGAAAUUCGGCUGAAAAAUGAUUAAAUUUAGCUGGAAAUUGAAGAAAUUUGGCUGAAAAUUGAUAAAUUUUGGCUGAAAAUUGACGAAAUUCAGCUAAAAAUCGAGAAAUUUGGCUGAAAAAUGAUUAAAUUUAGCUGAAAAUUGAAGAAAUUUGGCUAAAAAUCGAGAAAUUUGGCUAAAAAUCGAGAAAAUUUGAAAUUUUCUCGUUAAAAAUUUGAAUUUCCCGGUGAAAAAAUGCCGAAAACCCGGUUUUUUUUUUUCGUUCAAAAUAGGAAAAAAAUAUGAAAUUUUCAGCAAUUUUCGAGCUUUUUCCCCCCGAAAAUUGAUGAUUUUCGGGAAAUUUCACAGAUUUUCCCCGUGUUUAAUCAUAAAAAAUCGAUUUUUUCCAUCGAAAAAUUCGGAUUUCCCUCGAAAUUUGAAUAUUGGAUGAUUUUUCAGCAAAAAAUGCCGUUUUUGGACCAAUUUUUCAUGUUUUCCACUUGAAAAUAUCAAUUUUCGAUUAAUUUUUCCUUAAAAAACGUGAUAUUUGACAUUAAAAAUGUAAUUUUUCUCAGGUUUUCCACUAAAAAAGAUGAGUUUCCCUCAGAAAAUGUACAAUUUCAGGAUUUUUCAGUCGAAAAUGUGAAUUUUUCCCUGAAAAACGUGUUAUUCCACCGGAAAAUUCCAUUUUUCUUAGAUAAAACAUGAUUUUCCACCUGAAAUUACCAUUUUUCCCAGACUUUUCACUAAAAAAAGAUGAGUUUCCCUCAGAAAAUGUACAAUUUCAGGAUUUUUCGGCCAAAAAUGCCAAUUUUAGACCAAUUUUUCACACUGAAAAACGCGUUUUUCCACCUGAAAAUGCCAAUUUUCGACCAAUUUUUCCUUAAAAAACGUGUUUUGCCACCUAAAAAUCUCUAAAAAUCGCCAUUUUUCAGCCAUCCGGAUACGAUUUCGAGUUCUCCGAGCUGAUUCUCUACCAAAAUCUGAUAAUGCGUGAAGCCGGUCUACCAGACGUUGCUCUUCAGAAAUUGGAAGAAAAUUCCACACAUAUCGUUGAUAAAGUCGCCUAUAUGGAGACUCGUGCCAAUCUUUUAAUGGAUUUAGAACAACCGAAACAAGCGGAAAAUGUGUGGAGAGCACUUAUUGAACGGAAUCCUGAUAGUUUGGAGUAUUACGAUAUGUUGGAGAAGUGUAUGGGCAUUAAGG
rnacentral:sRNA from 1 species